rnacentral:lncRNA from 1 species
GGAUCCUUAACCCACUGAGCAAGGCCAGGGAUCGAACCCGCAACCCCAUGGUUCCUAAUCGGAUUAGUUAGCCACUGAGCCACGACGGGAACUCCACAUAUAUUCUUAAUGUUAGCUUCAGGACAACUCAAGAUAAGACAAUAAUCUUUUAUUAUUCCCAUUUUUCAGAACAAUAAAGUAAUGUUAAUGAUAGUAGGUAAAACUGUCAGGUUAACAACUCUAAGUUUAGAGUUUUUAUCACUAUAUGCCUGGUAAUUUCAUGGUGCUUUACAUUUUCAAAGAAGAAUCCAGAUUUUUGUUAACAUGCUCCCAAAAGUUCUAACAAAAUAUUAGGUAUCACACCACACACAUAUCUCAUCAUACACAUAUGUAUAUAUAAUUUACUACUAAUUAAUAAGCAAUUUAAUAGUUUUUAAGGGCUUCUGUCCACACCCAGUUAGCAGAUCUUAGCAAUACUCUCCAAAGAAGUUAUGCCAGGUAGUAGAAUGCCCAUUUCCAGAUGAGGAAAUAGGGACUAGGAGAGAUUGUAACUCUUUACACUGUCUUUACAGUGUGAUGAAGAGCAAUGAUGUGUGCACCUGGGCUGUGGGUCCAGACCUAUAACAACCAGCAGAGUAACUUUAGGUAAGUCAUCCAACCUCUCUGAGCUUUGCCUUCCUUCUAGGACAAUUACAGAAGGUGAGUCACUCACAGAUACCAUUUAACCCGUAAAAGUCUUAUCAGUCUGCAGCUCAGCUAAUUCAGUAGAUGGUCUAAGCCCUAGCUCUUCUUUGCCCCUUCCCAUGCUGUACUGCCUCUUAGGAAAUCUCACUAUGCUCUCCCAACUGAAGAGUUAAUUUCAUUUGUUUUUUGUUUAUCUUUAUAAAGAACUGGGCCCUGUUUAUCCUUUGGUUCCUGGGCUUAUGUACAGCCAGUAAAAACAUUCCUCUACCAGAAAGGCUGGUGAGACAGAGGUGUGCAGGCACAGGGGGUCCAGGGCAAAGGGCGUGUCCUCCUGUGACCUCCUCUCACUGCACUGCCACGCUCUCACUUCAGGGAUGGCAGGUGUGUGUUUGUUUUCAUGGCUCUUGCUAUCUUUUUGUUUUUGUUCUUCAAAGAAACAGUCCAAAACUCAAGGUUGAUAGGAAAGACAGGUUCCUACUUCCAGGUCCAGGAACAGGGUCACAAUUAAUUUAAUGCUAUUUAAGUGGUCCAACCCAAAACCUUCCUAUCGUGAAGAAGGGGGCAAGUUCAGAAGUCGUGGGUGAGGGCACCCAGCUAGAGGUGGGGACUCCAUUGCAAAGAAUCACACAGACUCCCUCUGCUGACAUAAAGAAAGUUCUCCUACAUCCUUGCUGAGGUAGGUGCCAGAGAAAUAAGCAACCUGACCCCCUGAAGAGUCUUCGGAGCCUGGCAGUAACCUGAGCUGCUCUAGGUUAUUUUUGCUGAGGGCUAGUGGUUCUUAAAGGGACUGUGCUCUGGGCGCCCCUAUCCAGACACAGAACACAAAUCAAUGAAAAGACCAAUGUGACGUGGUCACCUAAGGCAGUUUAUUGGAUGUAUGGACUAGAUCAGUAAGGUGUGUGAGCAAAUAUUUUCAUCCCCUUUCAAGGGGAUCGAUUGUAAUACCCUGUGUUAUAAUAUGAUUGGUUUCAAACAUGGAAGUGCUGAAUAACACAGCACCCCAUUGGUUUAAAAUGGAAAAGGAAAGCAGGCAUGCCCCAAGGCUCUGUCCUCAGCGCCAGGCUGCUACUUAAGAAGGGAGUGGGGAGGAGAGAUUAGAGAUGGGGGUGGCUACCAGGGCUGUGCUCGCCAGUCAUCAUCCCCAUUUAAAUGCUCCCUCCAAGCCUGACAGGUAUACCAACUGUACAAAGAAGGAAAGUGGGGCUCGGCAAGGCUUCCUAACACACGUCAGAGUUUCGUGAUGGGUGAGUGUUGGCCCCUUCCGCUAUGUCUACCUGAAUGGUGAAGAUUCCGAAAGCAAAUCCUCACCCCAUUCAAAAAACAAUUCUUGUGAAACAACCAGUCCUUUCAUUCUCUGUCCCACAUCCCUGAACUGGCCAGGGGGGGGAGCAGGAAUAAUCCAGUAACGAGGAAAGUGGGAUCCGGAGUCACAAGUGCCCAGGUUUGAAAACCUGCUUCACCACAAACUCACUGGGUGACCCUGGGCAAGUUGGUUAUACUCCUGGAGCCUCGGUGGCAGUAACAGUAAUACCUACAUCAUCAGGCUGUUUUGGAGAUUAAAUAAGAUACUCAUAUGCGUAGUGUACUUGGAAGCAUGCCUGGCACAUGGAACCCUUCAGUUAAAGGGUUGCUAUUAUUAGUUGCGUUAGUAUUCCUAUUCAGCAAGUGUGUAAUUCAAGUUGCCUUGAAAUCUGGCAAAGGAUAAUCAUGAGAAAAAUAACGUUCAGCUAGCUGUUGGGCAGGUCCUUAGCACACGUGAUCUCCAGUGCCCACAACUCUGCCAGGCAAGUUGAUGCUACUCCCCUCUGCAGACCAGGGGCACGAGGCUCACAGAGGUUUAGUGACUUGCCUGAGUCACAACUAGGAAGUGAUGGAGCAGGGGGUUGAACUCAAGGUCUGACUUCAAAGCCUGUACGCCUUCCACUCAAUUGAGAAACAGUCAGGGAAUAGAGAGCAGAGGGGAGCAUCCUAUUCCACAGCUGGUCAGCUCUUCCCUUAGGUCAGCCUCGUAACCUCUUUGUCCUGUUUCACCUUCCAGCUAUGAUUUGGGGUGGAGGAGUCUGAUUUCUGUAGCAAGUCGCCAUAUAUUAUUCAGCGACAGGUGAUUCAACAGAGAAUAAUAAAGCUCUCUGUAAUCUUAUUAAAACUACAUUAUUCUAAGUGCUAUCUCCCUUCCUCUAGGAAUCUUCACGACGACCCUAGGCACAGGGCUAAUUAUCUUGGAGAGCGAAGGGUGCCUUGAUAACUCACUGGCAUGAGCUGAUAUUCUGGAGGAAAAUAAAAUAAGCCAAUUUAAUUGUUUAUAGUAACAAUCCUGUUCUAUGAUCAAAAUUUAUCCCAAGUAACAUGUCCAACACAUUACAAUUUUUAAAUUUUUUUAAAAAAAUAAAAUGUAUUGCUACACUUUAAUUUUAAUAUUUGAAGAAGUUUGAAUUUAUAACCAGUUUGACUCUUCACAGACAAUAUCUUUUGAUAGUUUUCUCAUGCAGUCUUGCAUACUUCACAUUGUUUUUCACUUGUAAUCUUAAAAUCGCCACGGUUUUAUAUAACAUCCCUUGAAAGGUGCCUUAUAAAACAGAAAUUUAUAGACGGAUUUCUUCAGGACUCAAAUUCUUGUCUCUCUCCUUGCCCUCAUCAAACUUAUUUUAUCCUUAUCUUUUUUAUUUUCUAUUUUCCCUUUCUUGUUGUUUAUUUCGUUUCUUUUGUCACAAUGACAGGGUGGAGCAAUCUUAAAAAACUAGAAGCUCUUCUAUAGGUUUCUCAAAGCUGAGUCUACAGACAACCUACUUCAUUAUCUCCAGGGAGGGGUCCCCAAAUCUACAUUUUUAGCAAGCUGCCCUGGUGAACUGCACAGGCUGGGAUAUAUCAUAAGAUCUGUAAUCUGCUAAAUCCUAGAUACAGCUCAAUUCCUAGCCUUUUCAAUUGAGCAAUAUGCAUAUGCUAGUUUUAGCAAAACAUAAACUUCACUCUCUAGACCUCAGCUGAGAGCAUCACACAAUAUGCAUCUUAUGUACUAAAUUUAAACAAAAGAUUUUAGCACGCACUAUUAUUUAUUUCAGUGUGGAGCAAUGAGCAAACAAAAGAGGGUUGGAUCAAAUGAGGACUCCAAAUGGAUCUAAUGAAGACUUCCAACCUAAGUGCUUAAAGGGAUGUACCCCCCCCAUUGCAGUGGAGGUGUUUGAUGCAACAAAUCUUCACUUUCAGCAUCUUACUGAAGUGUAAAACCUCACCGCCUGUGUCCCUAUAUUUACGCUCAUUAUCUAAAACCAACAUAAAUUGAACCAACUAAGGACCAAUGGCUGAUACGAGAGGAAAACACUCAAAUGGAAUUUCUUCAAAAGUCUUCAUUUAAUGAAAAAGAUUUAUUGACUAAUAAUGCAGAAGAGAAGCUAAACCUCAACACGUGACAUCUUUUGAGAGGUGCUUGGCUUACGUAAGUGUUGAUCCUUUUCCACAACACCUUACAGGGAAGUCAGGUCUGUUGGGAUCAACAGGACAGGUUACUCUAGUCAAAGUCAUAAUAUCGCCUAACUUGUCACAUUUCCAGGCUGACAGACACCCAGUUCCUCAGCCCCUCCUUUCCAAUAGUUCAGGUGGGUGUUACCACCUCUGAAGGCACAGGUCAGUCCAGGCUUCCUCUAGAGGCAGCUCCAAGUGCUCCCCAUUUUCUUCAAUAUUAUCCAAUUUUUACAGAAAAAUGACUUUGCCUUCUCCUUCACAAAAGCCACAAAUAAAACAGAACAAAACAAUGAGUUUUUCAAGGAAAAAUUUCCUCCAUGUAUAGUCUCUAUGCAUUGACUCAGUAACACAGCUCCCUAGCUGCCCCUCUUUCUGCCCCAAAAAACAGAGCUGGGAGCACUCCGGUGGCUCCAGGAUCCCGCUGAAUCAGUGAUCACCAUUCCUCUACAUCAUCCAUCUUUCCCUGUCUGAUGACUCUUAUCUUGGCAGCACACAUAAAGAGGUCCACAUCUAUAUAAAAAGCUUUCUGGGUCCCACCUCUGUCUGUCUAUCAGCUCAUGCCUAUGCACAGCCAAGCUUUUGGAAAGAGUGGUCAAGAUUAUGAGGGCAAAAAUAUGACUAUAUUGUUCUCCUGUCUGAUUCCAAUGCUAGAAUAGUUCUUGGUAGGCCCCUAAGAAAUAAUUCUCAUUGUUUAAUACUGAUGCUUCAAAAAGGCAGAAAGCCCAAUAGAAAAGUGAACAAAAUACUGCAAUGGGCACUUUAUAAACAACAGCAUAAAAUAUCCAAAAACAUAUGACAAGGGGUUCAACGUCAUUAACCAUCAGAGAACUAAAAUUAAUACUACAAGUCUAUACCACUACAUAACAACCAGAAUGGUCAAAAUGAGAACGAUAAAAAUAUCACAGCAAGGUAGGGGCAAUGAGGACCCUCAUGCACAGCUGAAAGGCGUAUCAAUUGGCACAUGCAUUUUGAAAAAGUGUGUGGCUGUUAACUACUAACACUAAAUAUGUACAAGUGCUAAGAUCUACCAAUUCCAUCCCUGGGUAUACACUCAAUAAGCAUGUAAAACUAUUCACAGAAGCAUUAUUUGUAAUAGGCUGAAAACAAAACCCAAAUUCACCAAUGGCUGAAUGAAUAAACUGCAGUAAAUUCAUACAAUAAGAUCCUACACAGCAAUGAGACUGAAUGAUUCUUAGAUGCAAAACCAUGAAUCAAUGUUGCUAACAUACUGGUAAGUGAAAGAAGCCAGAAACAGCAGAAAACACAGCGUAUGAUUUCAUACAUAUAAGGUAUAAAAAUUGGCAAAAUCUAUAUAUUAGAAGUCAGCAGUUACCCUUGUGGUUGAAAAAGAAAUGAGAAAUGCCCUUAGAAUGCUAAUAAUGUCCAGAUUUUUUAUCUGCUUUUUAGUUCAUGAAAAUUCAUCAAACAGUAUAUUUCCUUUUAUGAAUACCUGUUAUAUCACACAGUUUUAAAAACCUGGACACAGUGAUUGGUCCCCAAUUCUUUCUUUAUUCAAAACACUCUUGAUUUCCUUCUCUGUGUCACCCUCAUAGAAGCUAAGAUCCUUGAGGCCAGAGACUAAUAAUCAUUUUCCGCUUUGGCUUCCUUAGUUCUUGCACAGAACUUGGCACACCAGCUCUCAACAAGUGAUUUUGGAUGAAUGAACGCACAUGCUGCCUCAGCCCCAUGGGUAAACUCAGUUCUUUUAUAUGCUCUUGACUCCAAAGCCCGCAUUUUCAGCCUCUCUCCUGGGCUGCAGGUUUCAGGACGGCCUGCAGAGCAUGGCAGUGGUCAUGAUCUGCCCUUUAUCUGAGAACUGGCUUUGAGUCAGGAGCUUUACAUAAUUAUCUUUUGCCCCUCACCAACUGACUUCAAGUUGGUAACAACUACCCCCCAGUUCACAGACCAGGGAAACUAAGGAUCCCAGAGGUUAUGUGACUUACCUAAAAUGACGCAGGUGAUCAAUCGUAGAAGUAAAAUUGAAACUCAGGUUCUUUCUGUUCCCCAAGCCAGUGAUCCUUCCAUAGACCACACAUGAUCAUAGACACAGCAAAUGUAAAACCCAGGUCACUGCUUUUCUCAAAGGCUCACCUUCCUGGGCAAUGCCAUCACCACUCACCCUGUGGUGCAACUAGAGUCCUGAGAACUGCCUUCUUCUUCCCUCAUCCUUCACACUGACUUAAGUCACUAGGACUGUUUCCUAAGCUUGAAAAUCCACCCUAGGCUCACUGUUCUGAAUAUCCCAGCGUAAGCUCAGGUCACUCGUUUUUUCUUUUGAAGAUUACUGUUAACUGUCUGCAAACUAUGCAGUAUUUUGCUGUCUGCACUUUACUGCAAACUGUGUCUCCCAAUUCAGACCUGGGUCCCUCUAUUUCAUGCUCAUGAUACUGCCUGACAGCUCUUGGUAAAAUGCAAAUGUGAACACGUCUCUCCUCCUUGCCCACAGGAUAAGGCUCCAACAUUCCAGCACGGCAAACCCUCCUUUACCUGGUCCCUGCCAAGCAUUCCAGAUCCUUCCCUGGUGAUGUCCUUUCUCCUCUCCCUCCACCCUGCAAUCCGGCCACACGAAGAUUUCCUGCUUGGUUCUCUGUCUUUGGGGCUUUGCAUGCCAGGGCUCUAGUUUCCUGGAAUGUUCUCCUGUGUUUAACUUGCAAGAUGCAGCUAAGGCAUAUACUCCUCUGUCAAGGCCCCCAACAGAGCUGAAUGAUUCCCUUUUAUAUCACAGCUAGGCUUUGUGUAUUUUCUCCUAUAUCCCAUUUCAUACUGUACUGCAAUAUUUUGCUGUCUGCACUCUACUUCCAGAAUGUUAACUUCUCAGGGAUAGACACAUGCCUGUUCUUUUCUGCAUCUCAUGCCAGCACACAAAAGUAAGGCAAAAAUAGUCAAAUAGUUUUAUAAUUAACAUAUGAAACUGACGGUAUGUGGGUAUAUGUCAGCUCAGUCACAGAUCAUUUACUUUUAAGAAUAAAACCAAGGAGUUCCCUGGUGGCUCAGUGGAUUAAGGAUCUAGUGUUGUCACUGCUGUGGCCCAGAUUCCAUCCCUGGCACUGGAACUUCCACAUGCCAUGGUCAUGGCCAGAAAAAAGGAGAAAGCCAAAAAGAUUGUCCCAAGCAGAAACAACAGGGGAAACAGAUCCUUUCUUUGUGUGAAGAAAGGAUAAGUGUGGCCCAAAGUUUAAGCUGAAAAGAUUGAGCUGCUGUGUCCUGGGGCAUAUAAGAUCCUCUGGCCUCUCAUCAAUAAUUUCCUCCUACCACCCCUCAGGCCAGCCAUGAUGCAGGGCAAGGAUUAUGCCCAGGAGUAAAAGGAAAAACAUAAAGAUCUGUAUUGAAGGGGCUAUUUCAUGGAUUCCAAAUCUCUGAACCUAUAAUGCAGAGAAUCAUUCAAAUUCUAUCUCAAAAGUUACAUGGUACAAAAAGGGCCUAAGACUUAGUGAUUAUUCUCAGAGCUAACCAAGAUAGAGGAGAACAUUUGAUUUAUUCCAUGGAUGAACUACUCUGAAGCACACCAGGUUGUUCUAUCAUUUCUGAAAUGCAGGACAAGAAAUGGACCUGUGAUAGAGUCAGGCUGGGAAGUUACCACUUUAAGUGAAGAAGCUCAGCAGAGGAUUGGGGGGAUUGAAGAAGAUGAGCAUGGUUGUGAGGUGCAAGAGAGAGAAGGGACUUGAAGCUUCAUGGUUGAGACAGAGGCCAAGUCACUGUGGGCAGGGAUUCUUAAUUCACCAAUCACGCCACGCCACCCCCGGGCCCUUAGGUGGACACCAGAUGACAGCCAGAAAGCUGGCCUCCCCACAAAGGAGGAAGCUAGUUACAGCUUUCAGGGAGAAACCCUCUCCACCCCACCCCCACCCGCACCUCCCCACUCCAUGAAGACUGCAGUUCAAAGGCUCUCCCUGGAAAAAAGAAGAUGGAAAGAAGCAGCCAAAUACCCCUGGAGACCCACAGAAAAGCAACACCUCUGUUGAUAUUCCAAAAAAGAGAAAGGGGGAGGAGCCUUGAACUGGAGGAGUCUUAAACCAGCAUUGUUUAAUUGCCUUUUCUUGCUUCCUUUCCAAAGAGAGGAGGGAGGUGGGUGACGGCAGCCUGAUCACGUAAAAGACCAGAGGGCAGCCGACAUGAACUUCUAUCUGGCCUCCAUACACAAAGGCCGUAUUAUAACACACACAUAAAAAUAUGUGGGCAAGACUCAGAAGGCUGGUGCCUGAUCACACCCCUCCUCCGGCCCCAAACUCACUCCCAACCCCGUGCUUUGAAUGCAUUUGUGUACACACACCCUCUGACAGGACACGUUUGUCAUGUUGCCAUGGAGCUGACAUCUCUGUAGUUUCGAUGGAGGGAUCACCCUGCUUUUCCACCUCCAAAGGCAGAGGUACGAAUCACACAUUAACUCCAGCAGUCUUCCAGAUUUUUGGUGGCUUGUCUCCUCCGUGUUCACAUGAACCCUUCGUUUGUUUGUUUUUUUUUUUUAACUUAUUCUCUGUAAGGCUGCCACAGUGGAAGCUGCAGGCACACUGAUUCCUGUUUCUGUAAUAUCAGUAUGCAGGGCACAUGUGCGAUCUGG